GGUUCCGUAGGUGAACCUGCGGAAGGAUCAUUACCGAGUGAGGGCCCUCCGGGUCCAACCUCCCACCCGUGUCUAUUGUACCUUGUUGCUUCGGCGGGCCCGCCGUUUUCGAACGGCCGCCGGGGAGGCCUCGCGCCCCCGGGCCCGCGCCCGCCGAAGACCCCAACAUGAACUCUGUUCUGAAAGUAUGCAGUCUGAGUUUGAUUACCAUAAUCAGUUAAAACUUUCAACAACGGAUCUCUUGGUUCCGGCAUCGAUGAAGAACGCAGCGAAAUGCGAUAAGUAAUGUGAAUUGCAGAAUUCAGUGAAUCAUCGAGUCUUUGAACGCACAUUGCGCCCCCUGGUAUUCCGGGGGGCAUGCCUGUCCGAGCGUCAUUGCUGCCCUCAAGCACGGCUUGUGUGUUGGGCCCCCGUCCCCGGUUCUCCCCGGGGACGGGCCCGAAAGGCAGCGGCGGCACCGCGUCCGAUCCUCGAGCGUAUGGGGCUUUGUCACCCGCUCUGUAGGCCCGGCCGGCGCCAGCCGACACCCCCAACUUUAUUUUUCUAAGGUUGACCUCGGAUCAGGUAGGGAUACCCGCUGAACUUAAGCAUAUCA
rnacentral:misc_RNA from 1 species